rnacentral:sRNA from 1 species
GCGGAGACAAAUGUUUCCGUUCACUCCUCACACCACACUCCGCCUGAACUUUAUUUCGGGCGGUU